UACGUAGGGUGCAAGCGUUAAUCGGAAUUACUGGGCGUAAAGCGUGCGCAGGCGGUAAUGCAAGACAGAUGUGAAAUCCCCGGGCUCAACCUGGGAACUGCAUUUGUGACUGCAUGGCUAGAGUACGGUAGAGGGGGAUGGAAUUCCGCGUGUAGCAGUGAAAUGCGUAGAUAUGCGGAGGAACACCGAUGGCGAAGGCAGCCUCCUGGGCCAACACUGACGCUCAUGCACGAAAGCGUGGGGAGCAAACAGG
rnacentral:rRNA from 1 species